UACAGAGGGGGCAAGCGUUAUUCGGAAUUAUUGGGCGUAAAGGGCGCGUAGGCGGCUUGGCAAGUGGAAGGUGAAAUCCCACGGCUCAACCGUGGAACUGCCUUAGAUACUGACGGCCUCGAGGAAGGUAGGGGCAUGCGGAACUGUAGGUGGAGCGGUGAAAUGCGUUGAUAUCUAACAGGAACUCCGGUGGCGAAAGCGGCGUGCUGGACCUUUUCUGACGCUGAGGCGCGAAAGCUAGGGGAGCAAACGGG
rnacentral:rRNA from 1 species